GAACGGCAGCACCUAUUUAGUUUACUAGAGAGGUGGCGAGUGGCGAACGGGUGAGUAACGCGUAGGAAUAUACCUUAAAGAGCGGGACAACUUGGGGAAACUCAAGCUAAUACCGCAUAUACUCUGAGGAGGAAAGCUGGGGACCGUAAGGCCUGGCGCUUUAAGAAUAGCCUGCGUCCGAUUAGCUAGUUGGUGGGGUAAAGGCCUACCAAGGCGACGAUCGGUAGCUGGUCUGAGAGGAUGAUCAGCCACACUGGAACUGAGACACGGUCCAGACUCCUACGGGAGGCAGCAGUGGGGAAUAUUGGACAGAAUGGGGGGAACCCUGAUCCAGCAAUGCCGCGUGUGUGAAGAAGGCCUGAGGGUUGUAAAGCACUUUCGGUGGGGAGGAGGUUGUAUUGGUUAAGAGCUGAUAUAAUGGACGUUACCCACAUAAGAAGCACCGGCUAACUCCGUGCCAGCAGCCGCGGUAAUACGGAGGGUGCGAGCGUUAAUCGGAAUUACUGGGCGUAAAGGGUGCGUAGGUUGUUGAUUAAGUUAUCUGUAAAAUCCCUGGGCUCGACCUGGGCAGGUCAGAUAAGACUGAUUGACUCGAGUAUAGGAGAGGGUAGUGGAAUUUCCGGUGUAGCGGUGAAAUGCGUAGAGAUCGGAAGGAACACCAGUGGCGAAGGCGGCUACCUGGCCUAAUACUGACACUGAGGCACGAAAGCGUGGGGAGCAAACA
rnacentral:rRNA from 1 species